rnacentral:rRNA from 1 species
ACGAACGCUUGCGGCGUGCUUAACACAUGCAAGUCGAACGGAAAGGCCCUGCUUUUGUGGGGUGCUCGGGUGGCGAACGGGUGAGUAACACGUGAGUAACCUGCCCUUGACUUUGGGAUAACUUCAUGAAACUGGGGCUAAUACCGGAUAGGAGCUCCUUCUUCAUGGUGGGGGUUGGAAAGUUUCGGCGGUUGGGGGUGGACUCGCGGCUUAUCAGCUUGUUGGUGGGGUAGUGGCUUACCAAGGCUUUGACGGGUAGCCGGCCUGAGAGGGUGACCGGCCACAUUGGGACUGAGAUACGGCCCAGACUCCUACGGGAGGCAGCAGUGGGGAAUAUUGCACAAUGGGCGGAAGCCUGAUGCAGCAACGCCGCGUGCGGGAUGACGGCCUUCGGGUUGUAAACCGCUUUCGCCUGUGACGAAGCGUGAGUGACGGUAAUGGGUAAAGAAGCACCGGCUAACUACGUG